rnacentral:rRNA from 1 species
UACGGGGGGUCCUAGCGUUGUUCGGAAUCACUGGGCGUAAAGCGUUUGUAGGUGGCUUUGUAAGUUAAAUGUGAAAGCCUGGGGCCUAACCCCAGAAGUGCAUUUAAUACUGCAGAGCUUGAGUAUGAGAGAGGAAGGUGGAAUACCUGGUGUAGUGGUGAAAUACGUAGAUAUCAGGUGGAACAUCGGCGGCGAAAGCGGCCUUCUGGCUUAAUACUGACACUGAAAAACGAAAGCGUGGGGAUCAAACAGG